rnacentral:misc_RNA from 1 species
GAUGAAGAACGCAGUGAAAUGCGAUAAGUAAUGUGAAUUGCAGAAUUCAGUGAAUCAUCGAAUCUUUGAACGCACAUUGCGCCCCCUGGUAUUCCGGGGGGCAUGCCUGUUCGAGCGUCAUUUCACCACUCAAGCCUCGCUUGGUAUUGGGCAACGCGGUCCGCCGCGUGCCUCAAAUCGACCGGCUGGGUCUUCUGUCCCCUAAGCGUUGUGGAAACUAUUCGCUAAAGGGUGUUCGGGAGGCUACGCCGUAAAACAACUCCAUUUCUAAGGUUGACCUCGGAUCAGGUAGGGAUACCCGCUGAACUUAAGCAUAUCAAUAAGCGGAGGA